rnacentral:rRNA from 1 species
GUACACAAAAAUGCACAUAUUGUGAGCUCGAUGAGUAGGGCGGGACACGUGGUAUCCUGUCUGAAUAUGGGGGGACCAUCCUCCAAGGCUAAAUACUCCUGACUGACCGAUAGUGAACCAGUACCGUGAGGGAAAGGCGAAAAGAACCCCGGCGAGGGGAGUGAAAAAGAACCUGAAACCGUGUACGUACAAGCAGUGGGAGCCUCUUAAUGGGGUGACUGCGUACCUUUUGUAUAAUGGGUCAGCGACUUAUAUUCUGUAGCAAGGUUAACCGAAUAGGGGAGCCGAAGGGAAACCGAGUCUUAACUGGGCGUUAAGUUGCAGGGUAUAGACCCGAAACCCGGUGAUCUAGCCAUGGGCAGGUUGAAGGUUGGGUAACACUAACUGGAGGACCGAACCGACUAAUGUUGAAAAAUUAGCGGAUGACUUGUGGCUGGGGGUGAAAGGCCAAUCAAACCGGGAGAUAGCUGGUUCUCCCCGAAAGCUAUUUAGGUAGCGCCUCGUGAAUUCAUCUCCGGGGGUAGAGCACUGUUUCGGCAAGGGGGUCAUCCCGACUUACCAACCCGAUGCAAACUGCGAAUACCGGAGAAUGUUAUCACGGGAGACACACGGCGGGUGCUAACGUCCGUCGUGAAGAGGGAAACAACCCAGACCGCCAGCUAAGGUCCCAAAGUCAUGGUUAAGUGGGAAACGAUGUGGGAAGGCCCAGACAGCCAGGAUGUUGGCUUAGAAGCAGCCAUCAUUUAAAGAAAGCGUAAUAGCUCACUGGUCGAGUCGGCCUGCGCGGAAGAUGUAACGGGGCUAAACCAUGCACCGAAGCUGCGGCAGCGACGCUUAUGCGUUGUUGGGUAGGGGAGCGUUCUGUAAGCCUGUGAAGGUGUGCUGUGAGGCAUGCUGGAGGUAUCAGAAGUGCGAAUGCUGACAUAAGUAACGAUAAAGCGGGUGAAAAGCCCGCUCGCCGGAAGACCAAGGGUUCCUGUCCAACGUUAAUCGGGGCAGGGUGAGUCGACCCCUAAGGCGAGGCCGAAAGGCGUAGUCGAUGGGAAACAGGUUAAUAUUCCUGUACUUGGUGUUACUGCGAAGGGGGGACGGAGAAGGCUAUGUUGGCCGGGCGACGGUUGUCCCGGUUUAAGCGUGUAGGCUGGUUUUCCAGGCAAAUCCGGAAAACCAAGGCUGAGGCGUGAUGA